rnacentral:misc_RNA from 1 species
GGUGUUUUACAAUGACUUUAACUCAUAAUAUUUGAUAAUAUAAAUGUUUAUAUUCCAAGCAUGCAAAUGCAAAGGAGCUCACAAGCUAUCUGAUGAAUAUAGUUUCCUUGGAAAGAGUGAUUCCAACAUCUUUUCCACUACAACUUAAAUGGAAUAAAUAUUCAAAUGGAAAGGUUAAAGAUGUUAAAAAUGCGACAGUCCUAACUUCUGAGGGAAGAACAGACAGGUUUCUACUGAAUGAUGUAAGAAUUACCACUUAAAACCAUUAAGAACC